rnacentral:ncRNA from 1 species
AACCACAGAAUGGUUUGGCGCUUUCAGGUGAUUUGUGCUCUUGAUUAUUUGUAAGCGUAUAGUAU